rnacentral:lncRNA from 1 species
CCCGAGAAAAUCAGGGACAAGCUUUGCUACAAAGGUGGAGGCUCUAUCAAGAGCAUUGAGAUACUGGACCCGCCCAAGCCCAAGCCCGCUGAGCCUGAGAAGAAGAAGGAGGCCGACAAGCCCAAGCCCGAACCCGAGAAAAAGAAAGACGCGGAGAAACCUAAAUCUGAUGCUCCCAAACAGGAAGCCGGUAAGAAAGACGGCGGGGAGAAGCCUAAGGCUGAGCCUGAGAAAAAGAAAGACGGGGAAAAGCCCAAAGCAGAGGCUCCGAAAAAGGAAGCUGAGAAGCCCAAGGAAAAGCCCGCGCCCCAGGCGGAGAUGCCCAAAGCCAAGCCCGCACCUGCUCCGUUACCCGUUCAGCCACAUAUAGCACCACCGAUGGCGGUUCCAGUUGGGAUGCUGUAUGCUCCUGCUCCCUGCUAUGAAGGCAGGCCCAUUGGGCCUUUCUUCGAAUACGGUGGGCCCAUGAAC